CCCUGGCGGCGAGUGGCGAACGGGUGAGUAAUGCAUCGGAACGUGCCCAUCGAUGGGGGNUAACUGCGCGAAAGCGUUGCUAAUACCGCAUACGACCUACGGGUGAAAGCAGGGGACCGCAAGGCCUUGCGUCGAUGGAGCGGCCGAUGCCGGAUUAGCUAGUUGGUGAGGUAAAGGCUCACCAAGGCGACGAUCCCGUAGCUGGUCUGAGAGGACGACCAGCCACACUGGGACUGAGACACGGCCCAGACUCCUACGGGAGGCAGCAGUGGGGAAUCUUGGACAAUGGGCGAAAGCCUGAUCCAGCAAUGCCGCGUGUGGGAAGAAGGCCUUCGGGUUGUAAACCACUUUUGGCGGGAAAGAAAUGGUCUGUGCUAAUACCACGGAUUGAUGACGGUACCCGCAGAAUAAGCACCGGCUAACUACGUG
rnacentral:rRNA from 1 species